GAUGAACGCUGGCGGCGUGCCUAAUACAUGCAAGUCGAGCGAACGGACGAGAAGCUUGCUUCUCUGAUGUUAGCGGCGGACGGGUGAGUAACACGUGGAUAACCUACCUAUAAGACUGGGACAACUUCGGGAAACCGGAGCUAAUACCGGAUGAUAUUUUGAACCGCAUGGUUCAAAAGUGAAAGACGGUCUUGCUGUCACUUAUAGAUGGAUCCGCGCUGCAUUAGCUAGUUGGUAAGGUAAUGGCUUACCAAGGCAACGAUGCAUAGCCGACCUGAGAGGGUGAUCGGCCACACUGGAACUGAGACACGGUCCAGACUCCUACGGGAGGCAGCAGUAGGGAAUCUUCCGCAAUGGGCGAAAGCCUGACGGAGCAACGCCGCGUGAGUGAUGAAGGUCUUCGGAUCGUAAAACUCUGUUAUUAGGGAAGAACAUAUGUGUAAGUAACUGUGCACAUCUUGACGGUACCUAAUCAGAAAGCCACGGCUAACUACGUG
rnacentral:rRNA from 1 species